rnacentral:rRNA from 1 species
AGGAUGAACGCUAGCUACAGGCUUAACACAUGCAAGUCGAGGGGCAGCAUGGUCUUAGCUUGCUAAGGCCGAUGGCGACCGGCGCACGGGUGAGUAACACGUAUCCAACCUGCCGUCUACUCUUGGACAGCCUUCUGAAAGGAAGAUUAAUACAAGAUGGCAUCAUGAGUCCGCAUGUUCACAUGAUUAAAGGUAUUCCGGUAGACGAUGGGGAUGCGUUCCAUUAGAUAGUAGGCGGGGUAACGGCCCACCUAGUCUUCGAUGGAUAGGGGUUCUGAGAGGAAGGUCCCCCACAUUGGAACUGAGACACGGUCCAAACUCCUACGGGAGGCAGCAGUGAGGAAUAUUGGUCAAUGGGCGAGAGCCUGAACCAGCCAAGUAGCGUGAAGGAUGACUGCCCUAUGGGUUGUAAACUUCUUUUAUAAAGGAAUAAAGUCGGGUAUGCAUACCCGUUUGCAUGUACUUUAUGAAUAAGGAUCGGCUAACUCCGUGCCAGCAGCCGCGGUAAUACGGAGGAUCCGAGCGUUAUCCGGAUUUAUUGGGUUUAAAGGGAGCGUAGAUGGAUGUUUAAGUCAGUUGUGAAAGUUUGCGGCUCAACCGUAAAUUGCAGUUGAUACUGGAUAUCUUGAGUGCAGUUGAGGCAGGCGGAAUUCGUGGUGUAGCGGUGAAAUGCUUAGAUAUCACGAAGAACUCCGAUUGCGAAGGCAGCCUGCUAAGCUGCAACUGACAUUGAGGCUCGAAAGUGUGGGUAUCAAACAGGAUUAGAUACCCUGGUAGUCCACACGGUAAACGAUGAAUACUCGCUGUUUGCGAUAUACAGCAAGCGGCCAAGCGAAAGCGUUAAGUAUUCCACCUGGGGAGUACGCCGGCAACGGUGAAACUCAAAGGAAUUGACGGGGGCCCGCACAAGCGGAGGAACAUGUGGUUUAAUUCGAUGAUACGCGAGGAACCUUACCCGGGCUUAAAUUGCAGAUGAAUUACGGUGAAAGCCGUAAGCCGCAAGGCAUCUGUGAAGGUGCUGCAUGGUUGUCGUCAGCUCGUGCCGUGAGGUGUCGGCUUAAGUGCCAUAACGAGCGCAACCCUUGUUGUCAGUUACUAACAGGUUCCGCUGAGGACUCUGACAAGACUGCCAUCGUAAGAUGUGAGGAAGGUGGGGAUGACGUCAAAUCAGCACGGCCCUUACGUCCGGGGCUACACACGUGUUACAAUGGGGGGGUACAGAGGGCCGCUACCACGCGAGUGGAUGCCAAUCCCAAAAACCUCUCUCAGUUCGGACUGGAGUCUGCAACCCGACUCCACGAAGCUGGAUUCGCUAGUAAUCGCGCAUCAGCCACGGCGCGGUGAAUACGUUCCCGGGCCUUGUACACACCGCCCGUCAAGCCAUGGGAGCCGGGGGUACCUGAAGUGCGUAACCGCGAGGAGCGCCCUAGGGUAAAACUG